GGCAGCAGUGGGGAAUAUUGCACAAUGGGGCGCAAGCCUGAUGCAGCCAUGCCGCGUGUAUGAAGAAGGCCUUCGGGUUGUAAAGUACUUUCAGCAGUGAGGAAGGUGGGUAUGUUAAUAGCAUAUUCAUUUGACGUUAGCUGCAGAAGAAGCACCGGCUAACUCCGUGCCAGCAGCCGCGGUAAUACGGAGGGUGCGAGCGUUAAUCGGAAUUACUGGGCGUAAAGCGCAUGCAGGUGGUUUGUUAAGUCAGAUGUGAAAGCCCGGGGCUCAACCUCGGAAUUGCAUUUGAAACUGGCAAACUAGAGUACUGUAGAGGGGGUAGAAUUUCAGGUGUAGCGGUGAAAUGCGUAGAGAUCUGAAGGAAUACCGGUGGCGAAGGCGGCCCCCUGGACAGAUACUGACACUCAGAUGCGAAAGCGUGGGGAGCAAACAGGAUUAGAUACCCUGGUAG
rnacentral:rRNA from 1 species